AUUGAACGCUGGCGGCAGGCCUAACACAUGCAAGUCGAACGAGUGGCGGACGGGUGAGUAAUGUCUGGGACACUGCCCGAUGGAGGGGUAUAACUACUGGAAACUGUAGCUAAUACCGCAUACCCUCGUAUGUGCCCAGAUGGGAUUAGCGAGUAGGUGGGGUAACGGCUCACCUAGGCGACGAUCCCUAACUGGUCUGAGAGGAUGACCAGCCACACGGGGACUGAGACACGGUCCAGACUCCUACGGGAGGCAGCAGUGGGGAAUAUUGCACAAUGGGCGCAAGCCUGAUGCAGCCAUGCCGCGUGUAUGAAGAAGGCCUUAGGGUUGUAAAGUACUUUCAGUGGGGAGGCGUUACUCACAGAAGAAGCACCGGCUAACUCCGUGCCAGCAGCCGCGGUAAUUC
rnacentral:rRNA from 1 species